CUCGAUAUGUGGCUGAGGAGGAAGUACUUUAGCAGGAAGACGACUCCUCUCCCUGACGACUUUGCUUCCUGUCCUCAAGGUGGAGGAGGACGGUGACCGGGAGGCGGCUGCAGGCGACGGGUCGGACGGAGAAGGGCCAAUGAGGGCGGCCCCAGUGCCCCCUUACCCGGCGUCAGUCGUGUGGACGUUGUGGGUGUUCCUCAAGACCUUUUUCUCCUCCCUCCUACCUGAGCUCCCUCAGGUUCCCAACUGAUCCGAUGGACAGUUCACGCAGCUCCUCUGUGACAGUCGCUCAGCGUUGGGAGCGUGGACCACGAGGCUAAAACACCAGCAAACACCAGCAAAUGCCGGCCGGCUGAACAAGGACCAGGAAACCGUCUUUAACAACAACGUCUUCCUCCACGAGACGCCAUCUGACCCAACGUCUGUGUGACCAUUCGGGCUUUCGCCCCAUGACUGCUCUUUGCUGCUCCUGUGUGCUCAGGGAGGAGGCUACGGGGGGGGGGGGACACGAGGACACGCCGACACUCCCGACACACGUCUCUCACCACGCAGCUGGUGUCUCGUUGUUCCUCCUGCAUCGCUCUUCAACCGCGUUUUUCACGUAGCGUCUCUUAGCGUGACAGCGGGUGAGCUCUACCCAGCAUGCAGUUUGGCGGGGUCAUUUUACAAAUCUACAUUUAUUAGUGUUACAAAUUGUAUCACACACAGUUGUGUUGUGGCGUUUUACCUGUUUUAAAGAGUGUUUGUUGGUUUAUUAACCGUAUUUUAAGUCAUAACCAUGACUUCAUCUCAAUACACGUAAGACAAGCGGCUCCGUCCUCGGCGGUGAGCGAGGAACAACACGUUUAUCUGCCUCGUCGUGCCGCUGCAGUCGAGGAAUUAACGCGUUGUGGAAGCUGACCAGCACCACGAUGCUACGCUACUACGUGGCUCCUCUCGCAGGUUCUCAUGUUUCCCUUUUGGAAUUUGAAUGUAAAUCAAAGCUGUGCGCAUUUUUUUUUAAAUCUGUGAAUAUUUCACAAUCCAUAUGCAAGUUGCAUGAACUCGUUGGGUCCUUGUUGCUGUUUAAAUAAUAAUGAAGAUGUGAUUCACCGUAUUUAGUCACACGUUGCACCUUAACAGCGUGAAUGCCAGCAGGAACUGACAGCGACUGGAACUUAGUUCACACACAAAAAAAGAACAAAAUCCACCAAAUCACGUUGCACAGAGUGUUGUUUCCUGCUACUGUGUGUUGGAUGAUGUAUUUUUUUGAGUUGGAGAGGUUAAGAUAUUGUGUUCUUCUCCUGAAGAUUUCUAAUAUGAAUAGUUUAUUUCUCUGUUUGUUGUGACGUGUUAAACACAACAGGUUGAUGCUAUAAUGGUAGCAAUGCUUUAGUAAAACCCUUUUUAUGUCAGAAGAUAUAUUUAUGGAAUGGGGACAAGUUGACCUCAGUUUGAGCUUUUUUGUAUAUUUCUAUUCUCUCACCCAGGGAUGGUGACAUCGUUCCUCCUUCUCAACGUGUGUUUACUCCAUUGUGAUGUCACAGAUCACACUCAUUGGACCGCGGUUUGGCCUGCGGUCGACGGCUAACCCCUAAUUGCUCCCUGGGUUAAAAUGCUUUGUAGGUCGCUUUGGAUAAAGGCGUCAGCUAAAUGACCUGUGAUGUCAUAAUGGGUUCACGCUCUCAUAUGCUUCAAGUGCUUUAUUAUAUUGAUGGAUUGCGUGUUUUUUCAUCAGUGGGUUUUCUUCUCUCGGCACCACCAGCCCUGUACGAUGGGUGUAGCUCGCCUCAGAGGGGGGG
ensembl:lncRNA